ACACUUGUUUCCUAUUUAACAUGAAAUUGAUAUUACAUUGAACAAUAAUGAUUUAUUUAUUAUAUAUAUAUAUAUAUAAUAAAAUAAAAAUAAUUUUGUCAUGGGUGUCAUUAUAGUAACUUUUUUUAGGAUGAGGGACUUAUUUGUAUUUUUCCAUCCUUUUCUUAAAAGAAAUAAUAAAUAAAAUAAAAUAAAACAUUAUAAAAACUCCCUCUCCUCUUUAUUCUCUCUCCUCAACGCCACCUCCUUCUCCCCCACUCCUUUCCAUUUUCGGCCACAACCCCGCCGCCACCAGCCACUCGACAUCCCUCCUCCUUCCCAUUUCUCGUUGGCGCCGUCCUUUACCCCUUCCUCUCACCGUUCCCUUGCCGCAGCAAGGAGAAGAAGUCGCCUCCCAUGCUGCCAUCGCCAGUUCGACCUUUUGUCACCGUCCUUUCGCCUGUCCGAUGCUGAAAAUGAGCUCCUGGCUGGUGAAAACCCCCAAGUCAAGCUUCCCCGUCGUUUUUCCUCCGCCGGCAGUAGUGUAUAAGCCUCAUCGGAGCCUAAAGUUUCCCGCCUCGAUCUAAUGGCUUCCGGCGAGUUUUCGGCAUAAAUAAUCGCAUAUUCGGACUCCCUGUGACUUAAGCUUCGCGUAGGCAUUACCCGGAUUCAAAAUCCAACACCAUUGACGACGGUACCGGCUUUCAGACCCCGGUGUUUUCCGGAUCGUAGAAUUUCGAGUUUCAGCUAGAUAUAAUUUUAUUUAGACUUUAAAAAUUAUUUUGAAAUUAUUAGAAAAUGUUGGGGGUAUCAAUUUUUAGUUAUUAUUAAUUAAUUAAAUUAUUUAACUAAUUAGUAGCCUGAUCCUAGAAAUACUGCAGAUUAAUUAUAGAAGGAGUUAUUAUUUUGUUGUGUAAUUGAGGUUGUGAUUGAUUAAAUCAAAUGUGAGGAAAAUAUAUGUGUGGUAUUGUGAAUAAUAUUAUUUUUUGACGAACUGUUGAUUUUGUAUUGUGAUUUGGAUUGUGUUGCGAAGUGGGGAAAUAAUGCAGUUCUGGUGGCCCAAUUCCCGUUAAAUAAUUGUGGGAUAUUUGAAGUGUUUCUAGUAGGUUGUGGACCCGUUACAUGAGGGUAAAACAUCCAUAUUUUAGGGGAGGUUGCCGAAUUUUUGAUAGAAUUUUCAAGUCAGAAUUCUUAGACAGUCUAAUU
rnacentral:lncRNA from 1 species